UUUGUACUUUAUCAGGUGCUCU
rnacentral:miRNA from 1 species